UUAUAUGGAUUGUCAAGUUAUACUGAACUGAUUGAGUUGAGAAGGGCUGUCAAGCCGUGUCAGCAGGACCUGCGAUAAGCAGGAAGAGUUUCGCCGCCACGCGAAGUGAGGGAAGAGGAAGCGCCUUGACAGAGGAAGAACUCAGGCUUCCAUGGGACUAGGCAACACACGAGGGAGCAGCAAUGUCCCUCUGCUGAGUCACACACCAGCAGGAAAGUGGAGAGCAGGACAAAAAUGCAUGCAGGGUGAGUAGUGCAAGAUAUCUACAUCAGCAAGGAUAUUAAAGCAAAGAAUGGAUGCCAGUACUAAAUCUUGUAAGAUGGAAAGCUUUUCCUGAGUUUGGCUGAGGUGCCUCAUCCACCACAACUAUGACUUCUGCCAGGUAGCAGUUUCAAGGACACCUGAAGUACAAGUCUAGAGCUUCAUUCCAGGAAGGUGUGAACUGAAGAGGAGCAAGACCAUAUUGGACCAGCCUUUCUGGAACCUGAACUGUCAUGGAACCUCCAGCUGGUUCAUCUCCAAGCAUUGCAUCAUCAGAUCUUUGAUAAUCUCCAGGAUAUUGCCAGCAACUAACACUUAUUUUUUACCUCUACUUAGGUUAGAGAACAAUGGAUCACUGACAAUCAGGCCAAGUAAGAAUGAAUUUCCAGCUCAGGAAUGAAACUGUCAUUAGAUGGGAACAUUUAAUUGUUAGUUUCAUCAAUCUCAUUUAAUGGUUCAGUUCCUGGAAUGUUUACAUUUCAAAAUGUCACUUUUGAAUCCUAAAACUUGGUAUUUUAACUGCAAUAUGAAGAUGCAUUUUUUGUUUGAUUUUCUGUCUAUCUAUAUAACAGGCCAGCAGUCCCAUACAGGGUGGCCCAGGCAAAACAUGCACACAUACACCAUUCACUCUUAACCCUAUGGAAAUGGGUAGUUUUAUGGACCACUGUAGUACACCCCAGGAGCUUAGGCAUAGCACAGGUGACAACAUACAUCCAUAGCAAUGCCUGACAGCAUACACUAGUUUACCUGUCUCUUCAUAAUGGGACUGCUCCAAUCCUGAGACCAUAGCAGAUGUACCAAUGGGCCCCACCAGGUAUGCCCACAUCCUUUUCCAGGGAUCAAUGAGACCACAUAAUUUUUCAUGCACUCAACACUGUUGUUCUCCAUUCAACUCUAUCAUGCACAAUGCUCUUACAUGUUGCAGUCAUUCCUCUCUCACUCAGUGCUCCCUUCACACAGUUCAUCUACUCCAGGCAAAAAAAUUGUCUCUAUGCUAGAUAUUUUUCAAUGGUUUUCAGGUUUGUUUUGAGACUUGCAUAGCUGUAAUGCCAUGCAGCAGCCAUACAUAUUUUGAGGUAACUGUGUGGUAAAGGUUUAGUCAAUGUGUUGAUACAGUAGGGUACAUAAUUGUGCACUAGUGCUUCAGUGCUUCAUGGAUGUAUUCAUUGAAACAGCUGACUCUUUAUUAUCAUGAUUUAUGAUCAUUAUUUGCCAGCUUUUAGUGAGUGAAUCUUUGUUAAAGGUACAAGUUGGUGUGCUAGAAGAUGAUUCUUGAUAUGUUACAUGGGAAAAAAUAACAGAUAUACU